rnacentral:rRNA from 1 species
AUAGGAGGUCCAGCCUGCCCAGUGACUCUGUUCAACGGCCGCGGUAUCCUAACCGUGCGAAGGUAGCGUAAUCACUUGUUCUUUAAAUAAGGACUAGUAUGAAUGGCAUCACGAAGGUUAUACUGUCUCCCUUUCCAAAUCAAUGAAACUAAUCUUCCCGUGAAGAAGCGGGAAUAAAUUUAUAAGACGAGAAGACCCUAUGGAGCUUUAAACCUCUCAACAACUAUCUUUAUAUACACAUACUCCAGAGCAAUUAAAUUAACCCUGAUAACAUGUCUAUGAGGUUUUCGGUUGGGGUGACCGCGGAGCAAAACUCAUCCUCCGCAAUGAAUUAGAACCAUACUUCUAAACAAAGAAUAACAAUUCUAUGUAUCAAAAAACUGACAUAAUUGACCCAACAUUUUGAUCAAUGAACCAAGUUACCCUAGGGAUAACAGCGCAAUCCAUCUCAAGAGCUCAUAUCAACAGAUGGGUUUACGACCUCGAUGUUGGAUCAGGGUAUCCCAGUGGUGCAGCCGCUACUAAAGGUUCGUUUGUUCAACGAUUAAAACCCUACGU